rnacentral:rRNA from 1 species
AGCCAUGCCGCGUGUGUGAAGAAGGCUUCGGGUUGUAAAGCACUUUUGUUGGGGAAGAAAAGCACUGGGCUAAUACCUUGGUGUCAUGACGGUACCCAAAGAAUAAGCACCGGCUAACUUCGUGCCAGCAGCCGCGGUAAUACGAAGGGUGCAAGCGUUACUCGGAAUUACUGGGCGUAAAGCGUGCGUAGGCGGUUUGUUAAGUCUGUCGUGAAAGCCCCGGGCUCAACCUGGGAAUGGCGAUGGAUACUGGCGAGCUAGAGUACGGUAGAGGAGAGUGGAAUUCCCGGUGUAGCAGUGAAAUGCGUAGAGAUCGGGAGGAACAUCAGUUGCGAAGGCGGCUCUCUGGACCAGUACUGACGCUGAGGCACGAAAGCGUGGGGAGCAAACAGGAUUAGAUACCUGGUAGUCCACGCCCUAAACGAUGCAACUGGACGUUGGGA